UUUGGCAGUUGUGGAGUGAAGACAGAGCCUUAGAAAUUGUGGAUUCGUCAUUGGAGUCAUACGCGCCCGACGAAGCCAUGAGAUGCAUUCAGGUCGGGCUCUUGUGUGUCGAAGAAGAGUCGAAGAACAGACCAUCCAUGUCAGCUGUUGUUUUUAUGUUGAGCGGCGAAGCAUCUGCUCCAUCUCCUCAGCAGCCUGCAUUUGCCUUGAGAAAAAAUUCAUGCGGCGAUGCUGUUGUUCCGUCAGUUUCCGAAGGAUCGUGUUCUAUCAACGAUGUGACAAUAACUAAAUUCGAAGGUCGAUAACUAAAUUCUGAUGUCAUCUGUGAUAAAACAUGGUCUUUCGGGAACUGAAUCAUAUACGUUGAAAUGAGACUUCAGAUAUAUAGGCUAUUUCAUACAUUUUCAAAUACCUCUUGGAUGUAUCUAAUAAUACAGAACUCUUUCCAACAGUUAUGUCUCCUAAUCAAAACGUUUUGAAUAUUAAUUAAAAACUUAAUCCAAAACUAAAAUCAGUUAAUAUGCUAAUUAAAAUUACACCUAUUGGAGACCUUGUGUUCUUGUGUUCCCUGAUGUGGGAUAAUUGAGGCAUAAAACUCCAACAGAUUCCAACAAGAUCAUUUUCGGAUUCUUUUAGUGAGGAUCCUGAUGAUUUGUGAAUUGUGUCCAUUUAUCGUACAUGCAGUUAGUUUUUGUCAAAUAUUGUUUGUGUUUAAUUUUAAAUAAAAAUAUUUAAAAUAAUUUCUAAUCGUACGAUGUACGAUAAACGGACAAAAUUGACGAAUCCUCGAGAUCCUCACAAAAAGUAUCCGGCGAGGAUCCGGAUUCCAACAGAUUAUUCUUUGACGAAACUGAUUUGACUGCCAACAUCCAAAGUCUCCUUGGUUUGAGUCGUGCUUGCUAGGUGCCGGGUAAACCCUUCAAACAAGCAGCAAUAAUUCCAACAGAUAAACAUAAACAUCAGCGACAAUUCUUCUGUCUUAAGAAAGAGACGGAUCUAAAUCGCACUUCUAACAACACCGAUAUUAUUUUUAAUUUAGUUAGAGCAUUCUCAAUUGGGGCUUUAUCUUCCAUGAAGCUACUACAUUUGGAGUCCUAGUAAGAAAUUUUAUCCCCAAUAAGCCGAAAAUGAGGUUAGAUCCACUAUUUGGGUUAGUAACUUCCUUUCCUAGGUAGCAAAAAAUUAAGCUACAUCUAACUUUAAAAAGCAGUGAAUCCCACGAAAAAGGACGAUACUUGGACACUGGCUAGUCAGUGUCCAAUUUUAUUGACCCCAAAUAAAAAAAAUGACACUUGUCCUUUUUAAUUCUAUCUCAGAUUGUUGCCAUCUUCAUAACCAAACAUCUCCUAUUUCCCCAUAGCUUCUGCAAUGGAGAUUUGGGCAAAUCCUCAACUCCUCCAACCUUUGCCUCCGUCGACCGACCCGUUCCGUCGACCCCAUCCCGUCUCCACCUCAUUAUGAACCAUAUAUGUAUUUGCUACAAUAGAUUGACUAAAGAAUUUUAGUUUUAAUUUAUUUUUUAUAAAGAUGAUUUUACAGUGUGAUUCAUAGUAUGAACGAUUCUGAUUAUAAGCACAAAUCUUCGUGAUUAAAACAUUAAUAAUUUUGAAUAGGAGUUCCUACUUAUCUUUAAGUAGCUAAAUAUUAUUCAUCACCCUCAGAUGUCGAUUAGCAUAUACCUAUCUUAAUAUAUAAGGAUAUAAGAAUCGGGACGUGUCACAUAAUCCUAGACAAUUCAACAAGACUUGAGUGGAUCCCAGAAUGCUGACUAGAAAUGUGGUUUUCGUCUUCCAAAUACCGAUUGACGAAAAGUAGCACAUAUUGGGUAAAAUUCAAAGAAGCAGUUGAGCUGUCAACACUUUCAUUAAUGUACACAGAAAAACAAGUGCGGUCAAGUUCGUUUUGAGAUAAGGGAGGGUAGGAUUCUUUGGUAGUCCGAUGGCUUGGGCCUCUGAUCGUCUAAUUCUCUAUUGCCCUCGCUGUUGCUGUGAUUGUGCCAAGGGUUUGAUGCAUCUGCCAAGAAAAUGUUACUGAAAGCUUUGCUUGUUGUGUCCCUCCUCUUCCCAUUUUGCACAUCCAUUGACACCAUAGAAAUGGACCAACAUGUAAAGGAUGGUGAUCUUCUGGUGUCCAAAGGAAACAUCUUCGCAUUAGGGUUCUUCAGCCCCAGAAACUCCAGCUCCAGGUACGUCGGAAUUUGGUAUGUUCAAAACGAUCAAAAAGGUCAAAAGGUAGUGGUUUGGGUAGCAAACAGAAACGACCCCAUCAAUCAUACCUCCGGUGUCCUUACUAUAGACGGGUAUGGGAGACUGCUUUUUUAUUCUAACAAUAUGCAGAACAUUCCUGUGUGGUCUACAAAUGUGACGGUUCAAACUACGAGCACUAGUUGCAGGGCUCAGCUUUUAGAUUCUGGAAAUUUAGUUCUUUUCCGGGAUAAUAAAAGCAAAAAUUUUAUGUGGCAGAGUUUUGAUUAUCCUACAGAUACUCUCCUUCCGGGUAUGAAACUAGGCGUGAAUUGGAAAUUGGGGAUAGAAUGGGUCUUAACAUCUUGGAAGUCACAAGAUGACCCUGGAACUGGGGAAUACACCACUAGGCUCUAUUCCAAUCAGACAGCCACCCCCGAAUUUUUUACUUUUUAUAAAGGUUUGACUCCGCAUUGGCGAUCUGAUCCAGCGAACACGCGUACUAUUGUCAAUAAUCAGGGCGAAACGUAUUCCUUUGUUAAAAACGAUAGCACUCCAACAAGGGCGGUGUUGAAGGAUUCUGGGUUGCUGCAAAUCCUCAGGUGGAACAAGGCAGAUAGAGAAUGGAAGGAACUAUGGUCUGCGCCAAAAUAUCAGUGUGACCAGUAUGAAGAGUGCGGUGCCAACAGCAAAUGUAGUCCUGAUAAUAUCAAUUCGUUUGAGUGUGAGUGUCUGCCAGGGUAUGAACCGAAGUCUGUCAAUGAUUGGAAGAUGAGAGACGGUUCGGACGGGUGUGUGAGUAAACGAGUUGCAGUAUCAAAGUGUAGGAACGGAGAAGGUUUCAUGAAAGUGGCACGAGUUAAAGAUCCAGACACAACGAAAGCAGCACGGCUGGAAAAAGGUAUUAGUGUCAAAGAGUGUAAGCAGGUGUGCUUAAGCGAUUGUUCUUGCACUGCAUAUAUGAUCAUAGAAUCUGAAGGGCGCAGUGAUUGCUUGACAUGGUAUGGUAAGUUGCGGGACAUUUUAGUGUACACACAGGCAGGGCGAGAUCUGCAUGUACGAGUGGACAAAAUCGAAUUAGGUACCACUUCUUGCCAUGGAAAAGUUGCAAUAUAAAUUUUUGGAAUUUGCGGAACUUACUGUACUACUGGUUUUGUUAGUUUUUAAUCCUUUAUCCCACUCUUAUGUGUAGCUGAAAAUUUCAGAAAUUCGAAAGGUUUUCUUAAAAGGAGGGGCAUGCUGGCUAUUCUGAUGUUGUCUGUUCUUCUAGCAUUGGUACUGAUCGUUGCGUUGGCCUGUUGGAGGAUUAGGAAAAAGAGGAAGACAAAAGGUAAGAAGUAGUCAGCGAUUUUGAAUUCUCGAACAGUUUCAUCAAAUAAAAGCACUCCACUUGUAAUGCUUGUGCAGUUUGUAAAUCAUAUAAAAGCACUGCAAUUAGAUAGAAUCCAUAUGCGCGAGCUCGAUGUAAAACUUAUAUUUCUAUAUCGUUUGUCAAUGAAAAUAGAACAGUGAGAAGAAAAUGCAGACAAUGAUUUCUUUUAUUGUUAGCAGUUGAGAUUGAAGAAACUAGGAGACAUCCCGAAUUGCAGUUUUUCCAUCUGAGAACGAUAAUUGCAGCUACGAACAACUUCUCUCCCGUCCAAAAACUUGGCCAAGGUGGUUUUGGCACUGUUUAUAAGGUUAGUCCCACUUUCGAAAAGUUACAAAUUUCAUUAUUAAAGAAUAAUCACAACAUAAUGGCUUGAUAAAAUAAGUGAUGAUUAUGUGGAAGCUUAAUGAUAAAAUUGAGUAAAAACUUCAGGGUGUGUUACGAAAUAAUCAGAAUAUUGCUGUAAAAAGAUUAUCCAGAGCUUCAGGACAAGGAGUUGAAGAAUUCAAAAAUGAAGUUGCGCUGAUAGCGAGACUUCAACACAGGAAUCUCGUGAAACUUUUAGGCUGUUGCAUAAAGGGAGAAGAAAGGAUGUUAGUCCUGGAAUACUUGCCGAACAAAAGCUUGGACUACUUUCUUUUCGGUAUGUCUAUAGAGGAAAGAUUCAUUUGUUCACGCCAUUUCUCAAACUAUGAAGCAUAUCUUAGUCGAAUAUGUCACAUUUAUCUGCACAAUUAAAGCCAAAUAUCUUGAUGCAGAUCACACAAAAAAGUCCUUGCUGGAUUGGCAAAAGCGAUUCGAAAUCAUCAAUGGGGUUGCUCGUGGGGUUUUGUAUCUUCACCAAGACUCAAGACUUAGGAUUAUUCACAGGGAUCUAAAAACCAGCAAUGUCCUUCUAGACGCUGAGAUGAACCCAAAAAUAUCAGAUUUUGGCAUGGCAAGAAUCUUCCAUGGGGACCAACUCCAAGAUACGACCAACAGAGUUGUCGGAACAUAGUAAGAAUCGUUAUAAACUCACCUUCCAUUAGCUCUUUCAUCUCUUACUAUUCUUUGGAUGUAACGUUUUAUUUUCUUUAUAUGUAUAAUACAGUGGCUAUAUGUCACCGGAGUAUGCAGUGUUCGGGAGAUUUUCAACCAAAUCGGACGUUUUUAGUUUUGGGGUCAUAUUAUUGGAGAUUGUAAGUGGCAAGAAAAACAACGGUUUCUAUCAAGCGGAUCAUUUCGUAAACUUAAUAGGACAUGUGAGUAACACAAAUUGUGCAAACAACCAACCCUUUUUAUUUACUCAUCUCAUACAUGUUUAAAAUGAACUGUCAACUACAGGUUUGGCAGUUGUGGAGUGAAGACAGAGCCUUAGAAAUUGUGGAUUCAUCAUUGGAGUCAUACGCGCCCGACGAAGCCAUGAGAUGCAUACAAGUCGGGCUCUUGUGUGUCGAAGAAGAGUCGAAGAACAGACCAUCCAUGUCAGCUGUUGUUUUUAUGUUGAGCGGCGAAGCAUCUGCUCCAUCUCCUCAGCAGCCUGCAUUUUCCUUGAGAAAAAAUUCAUGCGGCGAUGCUGUUGUUCCGUCAGUUUCUGAAGGAUCGUGUUCUAUCAACGACGUGACAAUAACUAAAUUCGAAGGUCGAUAACUAAAUUAUGAUGUCAUCUGUGAUAAAGCAUGGUCUUUCGGAAACUGAAUCAUAUAUAUUGAAAUGAGACUUCAGUUAUAUAGGCUAUUUCAUACACUUUCAAAUACCUCUUGGAUGUAUCUAAUAAUAUAGAACUCUUUCCAACAGUUAUGUCGCCUAAUCAAAACGUUUUUAAUAUUAAUUAAAAACUUAAUCCAAAACUAAAAUCAGUUAAUAUACUUAUUAAAAUUACACCUAUUGGAGACCUUGUGUUCCUCGAUGUGGGAUAAUUGAGGCUUAAAAUUCCAACAGAUUCCAACAGGAUCCUCUUCGGAUUCUUUUAGAGAGGAUCCUGAUGAUUCGUAAAUUGUAUUCAUUUAUCGUACAUCGUGUGGUCAGUUUUUGUCAAAUACUGUUUGUAUUUAAUUUUAAAUAAAAAUAUUUAAAAUAAUUUAUAAUCGUACGAUGUACGGACAAAAUUAACGAAUCCUUAGGAUCCUCACAAAAAGUAUCUAGCGAGGAUCCGGAUUCCAACAGAUUAUUCUUUGACGAAACUGAUUUGACUGUCAACAUCCAAAGUCUCCUUGGUUUGAGUCGUGCUUGCUAGGUGCCGGGUAAACUCUUCAAACAAGCAGCAAUAAUUCCAACAGAAAAACAUAAACAUCAGCGGUAAUAGACUCUAGUGUAUACCUUUUAUUCUGCAGGUAUGUUGUUGCACAUGUACAUCGGUCAGGACAACAAAUUCUGCUCACUAUUUUCACUUCGAGAAGUUUAGUGUGUGGGGUGAAAUGAUCGAAUCAUGAGUUGGGGAUAGAACAUGUAAAAUUCUAGUUGUUUUUAUAUAUAAUGGUUGUGAAUAUCUUUGUAAAUUGUAAUAUUAUAGAUGCUUGUGGUUGUGGGCUGUUUUAAUUUUAUGAAAAAAUAAUUUUUUGUUUAGCCUCAAUCUCAAUUUGUAGGUGACAACUUUGUCAGGCACAAAAGGACCUUUAUUUGUGCUAACACUUUUCGGCACAACAUACCAUAUUGUGCUCUUUGAUCAAAGGCUACGCCUAUAGAGGGCACAAAUAGAAAUAUAGUUAUUGCACUGUUGCUAUUGGUCUAUGGGCAUAAUUGUUGGUGCUCUUUGGCCUCAAAGGAUCGUGUUCUAUCAACGACGUGACAAUAACUAAAUUCGAAGGUCGAUAACUAAAUUCUGCUGUCAUCUGUGAUAAAACAUGGUCUUUCUUGAACUGAAUCAAAUACGUUGAAAUGAGACUUCAGUUAUAUAGGCUAUUUCAUACACUUACAAAUACCUCUUGGAUGUAUCUAAUAAUACAGAACUCUUUCCA
rnacentral:lncRNA from 1 species